GUUCCGGGCCAGUCCUACUAAUGCAGGAAAGCAGGGAGGUCGUCCCCUAGUGCUCGGGCGUAUAGCGCCGCUGACUUCAUCAAGGCGCGUACUUACCCUGUGUGUAGGAAGCGUUGCAGGGUGUUUCAGUCUCGUGAAAAUUAUUUCUCAUUUCUAAAGAUAUGCCAUUGAUCCUACCGAAAGGUCCUUGGAUCCCUGACCCCCUAGGUGAAGUGGAGACAGCCCAAGGGCAGCACCCCCUGGCCCACAUGCCUACCAAAUGCUGCCAUUUCGUCUGCACCAAGAAGGUUCUAGAGUCUGGAAGUCCAGGAUCAAGGUGCUGUUAGAUUCAAUGUCUGCUGUGGGCCUACCUCCUAGUUCACAGGCAGCCUCCUCCCUGCUGUAUCCACAUGAUCCAUCUGCUUUUCAGUCUACAUCUUGCCUGAGGUCUUCUUGAGGGACUAGGACAGACAGCAAAAGGCUGAGGGACAUGCUCUGCUCUUGUGUUCCAGGAAGAA